rnacentral:rRNA from 4 species
AAAUUGAAGAGUUUGAUCAUGGCUCAGAUUGAACGCUGGCGGCAGGCCUAACACAUGCAAGUCGAACGGUAACAGGAAGCAGCUUGCUGCUUUGCUGACGAGUGGCGGACGGGUGAGUAAUGUCUGGGAAACUGCCUGAUGGAGGGGGAUAACUACUGGAAACGGUGGCUAAUACCGCAUAACGUCGCAAG